UACGUAGGGGGCAAGCGUUGUCCGGAUUUAUUGGGCGUAAAGAGCGUGUAGGCGGCCUGGAAGGUCAGCUGUGAAAACUCGAGGCUCACCCUCGAGACGCCGGCGGAAACCAUCAGGCUAGAGUCCGGAAGAGGAGAGUGGAAUUCCUGGUGUAGCGGUGAAAUGCGCAGAUAUCAGGAAGAACACCCGUGGCUAAGGCGGCUCUCUAGUACGGUACUGACGCUGAGACGCGAAAGCGUGGGGAGCGAACAGG
rnacentral:rRNA from 1 species